ACAUUGCAUCAGACCGUAAUUGGCAGCUCCCAGGACUCCUCUGCUGGAGUGACACUGCAUGCCCAGGAAAAACUCAGUCCAUUUCUUUAAAAAAUUAUAUUUUGACCCUCUUCCUCUGCCUGGUUGUAAUAUCCUGUUCUUAAGGAAAUGGAACCCCUGGGGGAGCAAAGGCAAAACUGGUUUUGCAGAUAAGUUGGAAAAUUAUGGCUAUUGCCCUUCCCCACCCACUCUGGUCUCUUAGCAACAAGACAGCUGGUGGUAUCCACCAGAAAGAAAGAGCCCAGAGCUUGCAGAGGAGCCAGUCUGAAUUCUUGCCUGCAGCCUGAUUUAUUUAAACCUCUGCUGCAUUCCUGGGCGUAGAGACCCAGGAGUCCAGUCAAGGGAGCAUCCCCUGCCCUUCGUGUGACCUCUAAUGUGGCAGAAGUGAUGUGUCAUCUGAGCACCUCUCCAUUCUUGAACUCGUGGAACCCUGUUAUGGAUACGUGAUUCAGUCUGGCUGAGCCUCCUGGAGGAAGACCAUGAUGAGAGACCCCGCCUGUCCCUGCCUUGGCCUUUCUGGACCAAGUACCGCAGCAGACCUUUCAGCUGAUUUUAGAUGUAGGAGUUAGCCCAGCUGAGAUCAGCCAAGCUCAACCCAGACCAGAAUGACCUCCCUGACCUUUAGAAUUGUGAGCUAACUUUUGGAAUCCUAACAAACUCACCCAAAGUCCUGGCAAAUCCCCUCUGGGAGACAGUAUCAUGACUACAUCAGAUGGCCAGAAAUAUUAACUAGAAAUGUUCGUAAUCAUUAGCUAGAAAUGUUCACAAACUACAGUGUGCUCAGGUCAGGGUAGGGAGAAAGGCUUUGAGGACCUGCUGGAUGAAAAGUAAAGGACUUUAGCAGGAACAUGAGUUCUGCCUCCAGAGAGUUCUACAUCAGAGAAAUGGGACAAAGAAUUUGUAGCUUCUGUGGUGGAUUAAAUAAUUGGCUACAA